rnacentral:rRNA from 1 species
UCGGGAAUAUUGCGCAAUGGAGGAAACUCUGACGCAGUGACGCCGCGUAUGGGAAGAAGGUUUUCGGAUUGUAAACCAUUUUAGACAAGGAAGAAAAAAGACAGUACUUGUAGAAUAAGCUCCGGCUAACUACGUGCCAGCAGCCGCGGUAAUACGUAGGGAGCAAGCGUUAUCCGGAUUUAUUGGGUGUAAAGGGUGCGUAGACGGGAAGGUAAGUUAGUUGUGAAAUCCCUCGGCUCAACUGAGGAACUGCGACUAAACCGCUUUUCUUGAGUACUGGAGAGGAAAGUGGAAUUCCUAGUGUAGCGGUGAAAUGCGUAGAUAUUAGGAGGAACACCAGUGGCGAAGGCGACUUUCUGGACAGUAACUGACGUUGAGGCACGAAAGUGUGGGGAGCAAACAGGAUUAGAUACC